GGCCGGUUAGCUCAAUUGGAAGAGCAUGGUGCUGACAACACCAAGCCAAGGGUUGCGAUCCCCUUACCGGUCA